CGUAACGCGUAUGUAACCUACCUAUAACAGGGGCAUAACACUGAGAAAUUGGUACUAAUUCCCCAUAAUAUUCGGAGAGGCAUCCCUCCGGGUUGAAAACUCCGGUGGUUAUAGAUGGACAUGCGUUGUAUUAGCUAGUUGGUGAGGUAACGGCUCACCAAGGCAACGAUACAUAGGGGGACUGAGAGGUUAACCCCCCACACUGGUACUGAGACACGGACCAGACUCCUACGGGAGGCAGCAUG
rnacentral:rRNA from 1 species